rnacentral:lncRNA from 1 species
GACCCAUUUAGCUGUACAACAAUGCCGGUCCGUUGCCUUUCUCUGUCGUUCCGGUAAGCUUCCGUAUAAUACAUAAUAAUAAUAAUACCAUCUCUGAUGGUGGUGAGAAUAGAUUUUAGAAUAACCCGUUAGUAAGUAGCUUGCUAGUUAGCCAGCUCCUAUAGGUUACCUAUGGCUUUCGCUAACCCGUUAGCAAGUAGGCUGCGCUAGCCAGCUGGCUACUAAAGACGUGAGUGCUACUUAUUUUAUUUUCUUAGGUAACGCUGCGAGUACAGCUCCGGGGGAAAAAAUUAAGAGACCGCUGAACCCUUGAUCUGUUCUUUCCCCGUGAGCAGAGUAGGGCCGAGCCAGGGAUGCCUGCCUGCCUGUCUGUAUAAAGAAACCAGAGCCGGGACUAACCCCAUUCUGUAAAUGUUUCUAUUUGUGUAGUACACAGUUAUUGUACAGUUUCUCUCCAUCUUUCUUUCUGCUAUGAUUAUAGUGUGUGUGUGUGUGUGUGUGUGUGUGGUUUCUCAACAGGUGUUUAAUGUACUGGUCCUGGAUGCAGCCACCUUAAUAGUGUGAUGUCCAUCUCUUCUGGCUCUAAUAGGACAAAUCUGCAGACUCCUGUGAGAUUGAACCCUGGCAGGUGUACAGAAAACCUUUGGUGUUUUAUGUACUGGUCCUGGAUGCAGCCACCUUGAUAGUGUGAUGUCCAUCUCUUCUGGCUCUAAUAGGACAAAUCUGCAGACUCCUGUGAGAUUGAACCCUGGCAGGUGUACAGAAAACCUUUGGAUGCUACAGAAUGCCCUGGGCCCAGGCAGGGGAAUCAGCCUUCAAGCUGGCCCCACAACACCUUCCCUGGAAGGAACUGAGCCUGAAACUGCACCCCCUCUUCACCCUGCUCUAUGCACCUAUUAUGAUUAUUGAAAUAAAUGUCAUGAAAAU